rnacentral:lncRNA from 1 species
UUUCACUUAAGAAAUGUGUGUUUCCUAACGCGAGAAGUGGCAUUUCCCAGUGUAUCUCAGACGUCUUGUUGUCGAGCCGAAUGAGCAUGCGCUACGCGAUUUGCUCCUCUCCCCCCGGAAAAAAAGGGUUGUAUAGAAAAGCAUGCACAAGCGCCUCCGCAUACAAUGAAUCAGCAUUGUCUUUUUCAAAAACGCUACAGGGGCGAAGCAUUUGUCUUGAUUCCUAAGCGCAUGGACGCCGGGUUUGUGCCAAGGGCGUUCCCUUCGACCCCGCAGCAAGGGGUCUGACCCUCUCGCAUCUUCAGAGUGGUGUACCAUGAGAGGUCACCCGGGGAAGACCGUGGCAGCUUGUGAGCGGAGAAAAAAAGUUACUGAACAAUCCAUCAGCGUGCAGGCAGUACCAGAGCUGUGUUCAGCAUCGAAAUUGAUCUAGCAGGACUGCAACGACAAGUAAGGUCAUUGUGUAUGUUCACUUUCUCAGGUGCGCGAACAAGUUCUGUAUCGCCGGCGGGGGCGAUGCGGUUUUUUUCCGGAAACUCAAUAUGCAGCCAAAGUAGGAUGUAUCACAGCACUGCUGUCUUCCCAUAAAAAACUUUUUUUCCCUGUUUGCUCGCCUGUGAUUGCUUUCCUCUCUGUCCACGUCCAUUUGGGGUGUGCUGUGUCCUUUCGUCGAGAUGUUCAGCCGCAAUGGUAGACGGAUGCCUCUGUUGAUCCGGAUGUGGCCCAGACGUCUGCUCGUCUCUCGUUCUGGCACGUUGUUGCUUCUUUUCCCCCGGAGAGGAAACAUCUUUCGGUAGACUAACAAUUCAGUUUUUUUCCAGGAGCAGGGGGGGGUUCCUGUUACUGCUGGACUCUUCCGUAGGAGCUCACGAGCAUUAACCCCUCUGCUGAAGAAAGGCAGCCUGAAGGAUUUUGAGUUGUGUUCAGCGUUGUUUUUCAGGGGCGAGCAUCCCACCACCAUGCACGAGGCGUAGAGUCCUAGUCGAGGCGUGGCUACCCCUGUUAGCACAUUGCAAUCUGGGCUGCUUGCAUUUCUUUCCAGCUAACUCGAGGACAGGAGCCAGAACAGGUGCGACGCCGGGAAUUUAGCGUCUAAAAAAUAGAUAACCGAGAAUUAACUUAGAUUCACAGAUGGACAUUAUUACUCUUUGUAUGGUUUGUACCUACUUGAUUUCUCGGUGCUCUCACUGCACUACACACUGCGGCUUUUGGUUGCUGGCAAAAACUGAGGGCCGGCGUCUCCAACAGUGCAGCCCCUCCCAGUCCUUCUGCGGUCGGUUGUCCAAACGAAGGGAUGACACC